CGGACGGGUGAGUAAUGUCUGGGAAACUGCCCGAUGGAGGGGAAUAACUACUGGAAACGGUAGCUAAUACCGCAUAACGUCGCAAGACCAAAGAGGGGGACCUUCGGGCCUCUUGCCAUCGGAUGUGCCCAGAUGGGAUUAGCUAGUAGGUGGGGUAACGGCUCACCUAGGCGACGAUCCCUAGCUGGUCUGAGAGGAUGACCAGCCACACUGGAACUGAGACACGGUCCAG
rnacentral:rRNA from 1 species